rnacentral:RNase_P_RNA from 1 species
UAAGAGCCCACCAGCAAGGGGGUGACUCCUUGGCUAGGUAAACCCCAGCUGAAGCAAGGUCGAGUAGAGAAGCGCAGCUCACGAAUGUGAGUUGGAGUGUUGCCCGCACUUGAAGCUUCUGGGUAGAACCGCCCGAGCCGUGUGGCAACAUACGGCCUAGACAAAUGAUCACACCGGAGUUUCCGGAACAGAAUCCCGCUUAUAUUUCUACUCUUCCU